UGUGUCCUGAUCUCCUAAAGCCACAGAAUCCCAGAGACUCACAGUAAAUUUUCUCUUCGGUAAAUCAGAAGGCUCUGCAUAAAUAAGAGACAAAAAGGGAAAAUCCUGGCCAGUUCUCCCCUACCUGAUCAACCAGUAACAUAAUCAGACUUGCAAGACCUCAAGAAAAGAAACCUGAAAAUGCCACUGGAGGUGUGUGUUUUGCCAAAGAAAAACGAAUCAAAAACAAAACCUGCAGGAUGAGGACAAAGAAACAAAGAGCAGGGGUCUCAGCCAUGAACCUUGUGAUGGAUGAGGAAAAGAUAUUCUUUUUCUCCCCUUACACUUUCUGGCAGCCAACAUGGGGUGGCUGAGACACCCCACUAGUUCCAGGACCUGCAGAUAAGAUCCUGGGACAACUAAUAAAAAAACAACAAAAGGUUAAGA